CUUCCCCAAGCUUCUCCUUCCUUUUGUCUUUUUUGUCCCUUUUUUAUUUCUUCCUCGUCUUCUCCGGCGAAGCUUUUCUUUCGCUUCUCUUUACUUCUUCUUCGUCUUCUCCGACUUCUUUUAAUCUUCAUCUUUGUUCCCAGCUUCUUUUCUCUUCGAAUAAUGGCGUCGCUUCCGCCUUUAUCUACUCGUCCUUCAUUAGACUAUACCCUGCUCAAAACGUAUCUUG
rnacentral:lncRNA from 1 species